UCUAAGAAACAAGUAAGAAGCUCUGGC
rnacentral:sRNA from 1 species